rnacentral:rRNA from 1 species
UACGUAGGGGGCAAGCGUUGUCCGGAAUCAUUGGGCGUAAAGAGCGUGUAGGCGGCCCGAUAAGUCCGCCGUGAAAGUCCGGGGCUCAACCCCGGGAGGCGGAUGGAUACUGUAAGGCUCGAGUCCGGAAGAGGCAAGUGGAAUUCCCGGUGUAGCGGUGAAAUGCGCAGAUAUCGGGAGGAACACCAAUGGCGAAGGCAGCUUGCUGGGACGGUACUGACGCUGAGACGCGAAAGCGUGGGGAGCAAACAGG